rnacentral:tRNA from 1 species
UCUAUCAAAGGAGAAAAGUUCUCCACUGGCCUUAGGCGCCAAAACUCUUGGUGCAAAUCCAAGUGAUAGAAU